UGGGGGAGCCAAAGUCGAUGGUAGAGCCAGUAAAGGAGGAGGUUCUCACACCUAGAGUUUCAAUGAUGGAGGAGAGUAGAAUCCACAAAAUCCAAUAAAGGAGAGUAGGGGAGGUAAGGGGCAUUGAAGGAGUGGAGGGUUCUGUGAGGGCAAGUGAAGGGCACAUGUUGAAGACGAAUGAGAGCGGUGAAGGGCGAAAAAGAUAUGGGUUCAUUGAGGAAGAUCAAAAUAUGUAUGAUGAAGGAGAGUGGUUGAGGGAGUGAAAAGAAAUUAGAAAGGAUACAUAGCUUCAACUGACGAAGAGAUGGAAGAGCGAAAGGAAAUUAAGACUAUGGCUUAAGUACUGAAGAGAUGGAAGAGUGAAAAUUUGCAGACGUAUGGCUUCAGGGUUAUGCAUAUGAUAAAUCAACUCCGUAGGCAUAAACCUAGGCCUUUGCCUAUGCUAAAAAAUAAUUGUUGAUGCAUUUCAAUACUCAACUAUAGUUAUGUAAUUCCAUUAGCAAAUAUCUAAACCUUUACUGAUAGAUUAAAAUUAUCCAUAAGCAAUUUAUAUCUUUUAUUGAUGAAUAGAUGGCUUCGUAGCUAACAAUAUAGAAGUGUUGGUAAAAGCUUAAAUAAAUUGAUAGAUUUGCCC
rnacentral:lncRNA from 1 species